CUACGUGCCAGCAGCCGCGGUAAUACGGAGGGUGCGAGCGUUAAUCGGAAUAACUGGGCGUAAAGGGCACGCAGGCGGUGACUUAAGUGAGGUGUGAAAGCCCCGGGCUUAACCUGGGAAUUGCAUUUCAUACUGGGUCGCUAGAGUACUUUAGGGAGGGGUAGAAUUCCACGUGUAGCGGUGAAAUGCGUAGAGAUGUGGAGGAAUACCGAAGGCGAAGGCAGCCCCUUGGGAAUGUACUGACGCUCAUGUGCGAAAGCGUGGGGAGCAAACAGGAUUAGAUACCCUGGUAGUCCACGCUGUAAACGAUGUCGAUUUGGGGGUUGAACUUUGAGUUUGGCGCCCGUAGCUAACGUGAUAAAUCGACCGCCUGGGGAGUACGGCCGCAAGGUUAAAACUCAAAUGAAUUGACGGGGGCCCGCACAAGCGGUGGAGCAUGUGGUUUAAUUCGAUGCAACGCGAAGAACCUUACCUACUCUU
rnacentral:rRNA from 1 species